GGGGGCGCGCCUGCUGGGGGGACACCUGGGUGCUGGCGUCCGCUGCCUCCUGGCCCUUCGCGGUGACGCCCCCGAGAGCGCCUCAUGAGCCUGCCCGAGAGGCAGGACGCUUCACCUCCAGGCCCAUGUGUGUUUGCUCAGGCUGCUCUCAGAUCCUAAACUGGGAGACCAGUGACGGAGAUGACCACAAAGCUACUUGGGGGACAAGGCCACUUACCACCUUGGAAAGCCCUGAGUACAUUGAAGAUCAAUUUCCAAGGAAGUGUAGCUCUGUUUCCAAGGAAGUCGAGUCUUACCGGGUUUUGUAUUUGAAGGGAUCUUUACUCCAGGUCGUGGAAUAACUGCAUUAGGACAUAAGACGGGUGAGAAAAUUGAAGUUUCAAGAGUUGAGGGCUUGGACAGUGUGCCUCACAGCCUUGGCCCAGGCGGUGAAAGCUGAGCUACCCCUCGCAACCAUGACAGUGCGCUGCGGACCCCUGCUGGGGGCUCAGGGCUUCUGCGUGGGCACAGUGGAAAAGACUGGGUGGAAAGUCACUGCCCCAGUUCUGCAGGUAAGGCAGGGCUUUCUAGAGUAGGAAGUAUUGAUUUACCCCCACGGGGCAGU